rnacentral:rRNA from 1 species
UACGGAGGGUGCAAGCGUUAUCCGGAUUCACUGGGUUUAAAGGGUGCGUAGGAGGGCAGGUAAGUCAGUGGUGAAAUCUCCGAGCUUAACUUGGAAACUGCCGUUGAUACUAUCUGCCUUGAAUAUUGUGGAGGUGAGCGGAAUAUGUCAUGUAGCGGUGAAAUGCUUAGAUAUGACAUAGAACACCACUUGCGAAGGCGGCUCGCUACACAUAUAUUGACACUGAGGCACGAAAGCGUGGGGAUCAAACAGG